GCCUCCAUAGCUCAAUGGAUAGAGCGACGGCCUUCUAAUCCGCAGGUUCCCGGUUCGAGUCCGGGUGGGGGCACCA
rnacentral:tRNA from 1 species